UUAAAGACAAACACAUGAUUUGGUUCAAAGACUAUUGGCUUGUUACUUUGGUUGACUUUAACAACAAGUUUAAACUUCAAACCCCCAAAAAACUUCUUUGCUUUUCUAAGGAAAAGAUAACGUCUGCACUUUCAAAAAGUGGGGCUGAUAUUAAGCUUGAUGUGAGGCAAACUUCAUGAAGGUAUUGGCAUGGAACAAGGCAUGAAGGCAUGGAUCAUGAAUCAAGUCAUGGUAUAGUGAAGAAGUUUUGGAAAAGAUCAAGAAUUAUGAAGAACUUGAAGUUUUGGAGGCUUGGAAAAACACAAAUAUGGGAUGGCUUGUAAAUGAAGAAAAAUGGGAUUAGGGUUUAGGAUUAGGUAGUUGACUUUGGUCAACUAUUUGACCAAAAGGUCAACAGUUGAGAAAAAGUCAACCUUAGGUCAAAACAUGUAAUUUUGUAUGUAAACUUGUAAUUUGGAUCUUUUUGUAAUGAAAUGGAUGUUUUUAGUAAUGAAAAUGGCCUAUUGAAUGAA